rnacentral:rRNA from 1 species
CCUACGAGAGGCAGCAGUGAGGAAUAUUGGUCAAUGGGCGCGAGCCUGAACCAGCCAAGUAGCAUGAAGGAUGACUGCCCUACGGGUUGUAAACUUCUUUUAUAAAGGAAUAAAGUGAGGCACGUGUGCCUUUUUGUAGGUACUUUAUGAAUAAGGAUCGGCUAACUCCGUGCCAGCAGCCGCGGUAAUACGGAGGAUCCGAGCGUUAUCCGGAUUUAUUGGGUUUAAAGGGAGCGUAGAUGGGUUGUUAAGUCAGUUGUGAAAGUUUGCGGCUCAACCGUAAAAUUGCAAUUGAUACUGGCAGUCUUGAGUACAGUUGAGGUAGGCGGAAUUCGUGGUGUAGCGGUGAAAUGCUUAGAUAUCACGAAGAACUCCGAUUGCGAGGGCAGCUUACUAAACUGCCACUGACAUUGAUGCUCGAAAGUGUGGGUAUCAAACAGGAUUAGAUACCCCAGUAGUC